rnacentral:rRNA from 1 species
UGCAGNUCGAGCGGACCGACGGGAGCUUGCUCCCUUAGGUCAGCGGCGGACGGGUGAGUAACACGUGGGUAACCUGCCUGUAAGACUGGGAUAACUCCGGGAAACCGGGGCUAAUACCGGAUGCUUGAUUGAACCGCAUGGUUCAAUCAUAAAAGGCGGCUUCGGCUGCCGUUUACAGAUGGACCCGCGGCGCAUUAGCUAGUUGGUGAGGUAACGGCUCACCAAGGCGACGAUGCGUAGCCGACCUGAGAGGGUGAUCGGCCACACUGGGACUGAGACACGGCCCAGACUCCUACGGGAGGCAGCAGUAGGGAAUCUUCCGCAAUGGACGAAAGUCUGACGGAGCAACGCCGCGUGAGUGAUGAAGGUUUUCGGAUCGUAAAGCUCUGUUGUUAGGGAAGAACAAGUACCGUUCGAAUAGGGCGGUACCUUGACGGUACCUAACCAGAAAGCCACGGCUAACUACGUGCCAGCAGCCGCGGUAAUACGUAGGUGGCAAGCGUUGUCCGGAAUUAUUGGGCGUAAAGCGCGCGCAGGCGGUUUCUUAAGUCUGAUGUGAAAGCCCCCGGCUCAACCGGGGAGGGUCAUUGGAAACUGGGGAACUUGAGUGCAGAAGAGGAGAGUGGAAUUCCACGUGUAGCGGUGAAAUGCGUAGAGAUGUGGAGGAACACCAGUGGCGAAGGCGACUCUCUGGUCUGUAACUGACGCUCAGGCGCGAAAGCGUGGGGAGCGAACAGGAUUAGAUACCCUGGUAGUCCACGCCGUAAACGAUGAGUGCUAANUGUUAGAGGGUUUCCGCCCUUUAGUGCUGCAGCAGACGCAUUAAGCACUCCGCCUGGGGAGUACGGUCGCAAGACUGAAACUCANAGGAAUUGACGGGGGCCCGCACAACCGGUGGAGCAUGUGGUUUAAUUCAAAGCAACGCGCAGAACCUUACCAGGUCUUGACAUCCUCUGACAUCCCUAGAGAUAGAGCUUCCCCUUCCCGGGCAGAGUGACAGGUG